ensembl:lncRNA
GGCUCCUGGACCAACCUUCCAGAGUCCGGUAGCUGCACAGCCCCAGAUCAUCCGGCCACGGACUGAUCCGGGAGGCCAGAAAGCCGGCAAGACGGAAUUGCCCGUCUUGGACGGUGCCGGCAGCGGACCGUCUGGGCGUCGGUUUGUGUCACUGGCAACCAUCACUCGCACUUAAACCGGGCCCAGGUGCCCAUAGAAGGCAGAAAUGGUGGACACGGAUCGCUCUCAAGGAUGCUCCGCUCCGAGCCCGUCACCUAGGAUCAUCUGGGCUGUUUCUGCUGUCCGGGGACGCCGCCGUGGAAGCGAUUCGGCAGGGCGCUCGCCACCAACCGCUCUCCAAGUUUGUGCUGAAUGGAGGCAAAAGGUUGGCUUUUCGCUUGCGGGGUGGUGGAAGGAAGCAGAACUUUGAUGACACUUCUCGGUCGGCUCUUGGCGUGUCUGUGACUGCCUUCGCUGAGAGGUGCGCUGCGGGUGUCCGGCGAGGAAGAAAGAAGGGUUCGCAGCGCGCGGGGCCUGGGCGUGGAGGUGCGCUUUGCGCUCCGCUCCGCCCCGGGCUGCAGGGCCUGGACGGUUUCUGUUCAGUAGGGUGUGUGUUACGAGCGUGGAUAGGACAGAGAUCCAGACACAAAGACAGACAAGGCAUCAGUUACUGCAGUGGGCUGGAUCUGUGUGAACUCCGAGAGCGAGAUUCGGUAACUGGGUGCAGCUGGUGCGUGUGGCUCGGUGCACAUCGGAGUCUGUGCGUUCGAGGCUUGUGUGCGGAACUGGUUGUCCACGUGUUUCGACUGGGGUUGCCCGCGCUUGUGCCUCGGGGUCUCUGUCCACCUCUGCAUAACAAAUGGCAAGAAGAAGAUGGAUUGAAGCCUGGUAUUACUUGUAUUCUGCUAUAUAACAAAACUGAAGCAUAAGCGCUUAAAACAACAAUGGCUUAUUAUUUCUCAUGGUUCUGUAGAAGACUGGAUGAUUCUUCUGCUCGUCUUGCCUGGAUGACUCAUGAAACUGCAGUUGGGGCUGGAGAGUCAGUUCCUACCAGGUGCCAACCAUACUGCAGCACAGGAAUGGGAACUCAGCAGCAAAGGAAGCAAACAAGGUAGACAGACACAUGGAGUUUACAUUUCAGCGAGGAGACAGCCAUAAACAAGCAAAGAAGUAAUUCUCUCCAGACAAGGAUUUGUACCAUUACAUGAAGAAACUACAACAAUAACCACAGGCCCCAUGACAUCAUUACAUAUAAGGACAGCAGCUAUCAGACAAAGAAACCCACAUUUGAACCAGUGACUGUGAGAAGUGGGAUUCAAACUGGUGUGUUUGUCCCCCUUGAAAAGCAGGAAGAGGAAGGCGCUGGAGUGGUUUCUUUCAAAAUAAUAACAGAGCUUUCGUGACUAUUUCUGUGAGUGAGGUGGUGGAACCACAGAGCUAAAUCCCUGGCUGAAAUUGACUUUAAAAAUAACUAGGAAAACUAUUGGUGGAGAGUUAUCAGUUUUCUGGAGGAGAGAAGACUUUUCUAAGGAUUAAAGGCAAAGAAGAGCAUCAGUGAAAAUGCUCACAGUCCCAUGAGAUGGGGCAGCCUGGGUCUCUGCAGGAGCCCAGCAGCAUCUUCUGAGUAGGCAGAGUCCCUGUGGAAAGCCUCUUCCUUCCCAGCCUGCUUCUUCAGCCCCUCUAGCCUCUGCUAUUCCUGGGGAAUCAAGAGAGAGCACUGACAACAGGAAGCAGGUUUGUUGUCUUUUUUUUUUUUUUUUUUUGAGGAGGGGUGAUUCUUUUCUUUUAAUAUUUAUUUUUAUCAGUACGUUUGUAGCACAUAGUGAUUACAUUUACGGUGGGUAAUUGGUACAUGCACGUAACCCAUUGUAAAUCAUUUUAUGUCCCCCACUUCCCCCCACCUCCAACUUUUGGGCCCCUUCCCACUUGUAAAAGAGCUGUCUCAUUGUUUCCUAUUA